AACGUGGAGACCAGAACCCACUCAAAAAAACGGGGCGUCAUCCGAAAAGCCAUAUGAGUAGGAUCA
rnacentral:ncRNA from 1 species